GAUAACGGCGUCGAGCGGCGGACGGGUGAGUAAUGCCUAGGAAAUUGCCCUGAUGUGGGGGAUAACCAUUGGAAACGAUGGCUAAUACCGCAUAAUGCCUACGGGCCAAAGAGGGGGACCUUCGGGCCUCUCGCGUCAGGAUAUGCCUAGGUGGGAUUAGCUAGUUGGUGAGGUAAUGGCUCACCAAGGCGACGAUCCCUAGCUGGUCUGAGAGGAUGAUCAGCCACACUGGAACUGAGACACGGUCCAGACUCCUACGGGAGGCAGCAGUGGGGAAUAUUGCACAAUGGGCGCAAGCCUGAUGCAGCCAUGCCGCGUGUGUGAAGAAGGCCUUCGGGUUGUAAAGCACUUUCAGUCGUGAGGAAGGUGGUGUAGUUAAUAGCUGUAUUACUUGACGUUAGCGACAGAAGAAGCACCGGCUAACUCCGUGCCAGCAGCCGCGGUAAUAC
rnacentral:rRNA from 1 species